GGGUAGAAGGAGCUUGCUCCUUUGAGACCGGCGCACGGGUGCGUAACGCGUAUGCAAUCUACCUUUCACAGAGGGAUAGCCCAGAGAAAUUUGGAUUAAUACCUCAUAGUAUAGCAGUUUCGCAUGAAACCACUAUUAAAGUCACAACGGUGAAAGAUGAGCAUGCGUCCCAUUAGCUAGUUGGUAAGGUAACGGCUUACCAAGGCAACGAUGGGUAGGGGUCCUGAGAGGGAGAUCCCCCACACUGGUACUGAGACACGGACCAGACUCCUACGGGAGGCAGCAGUGAGGAAUAUUGGACAAUGGGCGCAAGCCUGAUCCAGCCAUGCCGCGUGCAGGAUGACGGUCCUAUGGAUUGUAAACUGCUUUUGUACAGGAAGAAACACCUCUACGUGUAGAGACUUGACGGUACUGUAAGAAUAAGGAUCGGCUAACUCCGUGCCAGCAGCCGCGGUAAUACGGAGGAUCCAAGCGUUAUCCGGAAUCAUUGGGUUUAAAGGGUCCGUAGGCGGUUUAGUAAGUCAGUGGUGAAAGCCCAUCGCUCAACGGUGGAACGGCCAUUGAUACUGCUAGACUUGAAUUAUUAGGAAGUAACUAGAAUAUGUAGUGUAGCGGUGAAAUGCUUAGAGAUUACAUGGAAUACCAAUUGCGAAGGCAGGUUACUACUAAUUGAUUGACGCUGAUGGACGAAAGCGUGGGUAGCGAACAGGAUUAGAUACCCUGGUAGUCCACGCCGUAAACGAUGGAUACUAGCUGUUGGGCGCAAGUUCAGUGGCUAAGCGAAAGUGAUAAGUAUCCCACCUGGGGAGUACGUUCGCAAGAAUGAAACUCA
rnacentral:rRNA from 1 species